rnacentral:sRNA from 1 species
UUUUUGCGUUAAGGAUAGAAGAGAAAUCCCGCAGUAAGUAGAAGCGAUAGCGUCAACUUACGAGGAAUUGAAACGUAUAGCCUGACCCUUU